GAAAUGCGAUACGUAAUGUGAAUUGCAGGAAUCUGUGAAUCAUUAAAAUUUUGAACGCAAGUUGCAGCUCUUUAAAAGAGCUAUGUAUAUUUCAGUGUUGGUAAAAAACAAUAAUAAUACAUUUAUUUUAUGUAUUGAAUUGAGUGUAUAUAUUUAUAAUAUAUUCACUUUAAAAGUAUUAUAUUUACCUUUUAAUUAUUGAUUGAUUUAUCAUUCAAACUUUAAAAGAGUUAUAAUAUAAUUUCAAGUAAAUUAUUUUAAAAAUCAACCUGAAAUUAUGCAAGAUUACCCGCUGAACUUAA
rnacentral:misc_RNA from 1 species